rnacentral:rRNA from 1 species
UACGUAGGGGGCUAGCGUUGUCCGGAAUCAUUGGGCGUAAAGAGCGUGUAGGCGGCCCGGUAAGUCCGCUGUGAAAGUCGGGGGCUCAACCCUCGAAUGCCGGUGGAUACUGUCGGGCUAGAGUGCGGAAGAGGCGAGUGGAAUUCCCAGUGUAGUGGUGAAAUACGUAGAGAUUGGGAAGAACACCAGUGGCGAAGGCGGCUAUCUGGACGGUUUCUGACACUAAGACACGAAAGCGUGGGGAGCAAACAGG